UACGUAGGUGGCGAGCGUUGUCCGGAUUUACUGGGCGUAAAGAGCGCGCAGGCGGUCGUUCAAGUCGCGUGUGAAAGCCCCCGGCUCAACUGGGGAGGGUCACGCGAUACUGAUCGACUCGAAGGCAGGAGAGGGAAGUGGAAUUCCCGGUGUAGUGGUGAAAUGCGUAGAUAUCAGGAGGAACACCGGUGGCGAAGGCGGCCCUCUGGACGGUGACUGACGCUGAGACGCGAAAGCGUGGGGAGCAAACAGG
rnacentral:rRNA from 1 species